rnacentral:lncRNA from 1 species
ACAGUCAGAGCGACGCAGGCGGCGCUGUCCUCUUGUCAGGCCGGUCAGUGGAGCGGCGAAGUGACUGCGGUCACUUCGGCUCUAUCGACUGAGGGGCGCGCGCUGUGGCAGAACCUCCCAAGUUAUUAGGCCCACAUGCACCUGUCCUUAUCUCAAAGACCUCAGACGGCUAUGCAUGUGCACCAGAUAACUUAACAGGAUCCGUCCGAGUGUCACAAGGACCCCAGAUAAACCACUUACAACCAGGAUCGCAAGAUUAAGUAACACAAAUCACACACACCAACAUUUUGCAGUGGAAAUCUUAUUACCAAAUUUUACAAGUUACAUCAAGUUUUACAAUGUAAAUGAUCGGAGUGAUUACAAAAAGUGAUUCAAAGAAGUAACUUUGAAAUGUUAUAAAUUAUUUGUAGUUUUGAAAUAUAUGCUAGCUUAAGUGACCAUCCUCAAUAAGAAGUAUAGAAGAGUUACUUAGACUUAUAAGAAGGUCGAGCCCACCGGCACUUAACACCAUCAUCAACAACACAAAACUAUAACCUGAAAAACAACAGGGAAUAAAACCCUGAGUAUGGAAUUACUCAGCAAGACUUAACCGACUAAAGAAAAGACUCUCAAGGAUAUGCUGGAUUUAGGAAUCAAGGAGAGGCUCUUAGCAAGAAUCAACUUAGAUACUUUUGCAGAAAUAGCUUACUAAAGUGAGUCCUUACUUUCAAUAUUUUAACGCCAGAUUAAAUAUUAAUAGACUCUGGUUGCAUCUAGUCUAAUUUUACCAUCUCAUCAAUACAACAUCAUUUUUAUUCAUAAGGUUUACAUCCUGACUUAGGUUGCAGGGCAGCGAUCAAGUCUCCACUCUCCGGGGAUAUAACGGCGAUCCGAAUCGAUUUACUCAGCUGAGGAUCUCUAACCACACGACAUAUGUAGCACUUAACCCUUGCAUAUGUCAACCGUUCCCACAGAUCCUCCACAACGUGAACCGGUCCGCGCUACCCGGGAGCACAGUACUCCUCCAUCCAGCCUCCAGCCAGGAGGGUACACGCUACUCCCACCAUCUCCCACGCCCAGUGUGCAGUUGUCUUUUCACGUAUGGAAUAGUCGGGUUCAAGCUUACCCUGUCCCAUUUCCAGGGCAUGUGGCCAGUUAAGAUAGUCCUUGAUCAUACAGGCCUACAUACACAUCCAAUCCUUAAUUGACCCGGGCAAAGCAUCACCUGUUCCUAGCCCAAGUCGCGAGUUAAAUACUUCCAUCCUUAGGAUUGUUCUGUGUUCCUUAGGAUGAAGAGAGCAUUAUAGGGAACUUUGCAGUAAGAUCCCACCAUGCUCCCAAUGAAAAUAUUCUUGCAGAUAGAAAUCAUCCUUCCUCAAGAUAAAAC